rnacentral:rRNA from 1 species
CUGGAGGUAUCAGAAGUGCGAAUGCUGACAUAAGUAACGAUAAAGCGGGUGAAAAGCCCGCUCGCCGGAAGACCAAGGGUUCCUGUCCAACGUUAAUCGGGGCAGGGUGAGUCGACCCCUAAGGCGAGGCCGAAAGGCGUAGUCGAUGGGAAACAGGUUAAUAUUCCUGUACUUGGUGUUACUGCGAAGGGGGGACGGAGAAGGCUAUGUUGGCCGGGCGACGGUUGUCCCGGUUUAAGCGUGUAGGCUGGUUUUCCAGGCAAAUCCGGAAAAUCAAGGCUGAGGCGUGAUGACGAGGCACUACGGUGCUGAAGCAACAAAUGCCCUGCUUCCAGGAAAAGCCUCUAAGCAUCAGGUAACAUCAAAUCGUACCCCAAACCGACACAGGUGGUCAGGUAGAGAAUACCAAGGCGCUUGAGAGAACUCGGGUGAAGGAACUAGGCAAAAUGGUGCCGUAACUUCGGGAGAAGGCACGCUGAUAUGUAGGUGAAGCG